rnacentral:miRNA from 1 species
CUGGAUGUCUCUCGCAGUCAUA